GGACUCAGAAAGGCAAAACAGCUUGCUCAAGGGCUCACGACUAUUUAGGUGGUAGAGCUAAGAUAUGAACCUACCUCUGACACCAAAGUGCACUUCAACACCCUACUAUCACCCAACAAAGAAUUCUGGCCACAGAAUCACCUUGCUGCGGUAUUCCUGACUGAAUCAAGAUACGCUGGGGAAGAGGCAUCUGAAGAUAGCCCGGGUUCUGACCUCGGCCCUGCUGCCUAACUGCCUGGUGACUUCAGGUAUUCUAAUCACAGAAUUACUGGAGCAUCAAGAAGUGCCUGCAUGCUUGGAAGGGCUUCCAGGCAGAUGAACACACCUCAGCACCGGGUGGCAUUUUCCCAGGGUGCAACCCGGAGCGGCUCUGGGUCACACUGACAAGGACAACAGGGUUAACAAUUUCCAGAGACAGCCCGUACAUAGAAGGAAUGUUUACUGAAAAAAAUGAAGAGGGGUCAGGGCAAGGCGAGGAGCGAGAAGCACCCCCAAGGAAACAGAGAAGACCAGUACAACUGUACCUCUUUGCCAGCUGCACCAUCCGUACCAGUCUCCUGGGGUGGAAGUGUCCAGCGCAGAGACUGCCACACUGCAAGAUGAAGGGGCUGGACACACGGAAGAGAGAGGCGGAACCCUGCACCCCCUCGACCUCAGCCCUACUGAGUCUCCAAUGGGGCCACGCUUCUGAGUGCACCUCCCCCUGUCAUCUGUAAUGUGAGGGGGAACCAGGCUUGAUAUGGCAUUCCCAAUCCAGGGC
rnacentral:antisense_RNA from 1 species